GUAUGAGGUUCAAGUUCCAGCUACUUGCAGAGAUAAGGUCACUUUCUGAGGUGCUGGAACGUAACCAUAUCUUUUGGCGAGAUGCAAUUUAAGCCAUUACAGAGGAUGCAUCUGAAAGGACAUCCAAAGAGGCCCUGGGCAGAGGGGGCCUCUCCAGGCAGUCAGGAACAGAAUGCCCCAGGUGCACUGACAACAACUGGACCUGCAAAACUAAGGACAGGCUUAGCUUCCUUCCUGUGUUUGCCCAUGAGACCAGAAGCAAGUUUGUGGUGAAAUUAGGGAACGCACUAUCAGCAUCUGUAGGAAGAGCACUGCACAAGGAAACAGGAAACCUGGGGUCCAUCCCAGCUCUGGAGCACUCUAGCUGGGCAGUCUUGAGCAUCUUUCCGUCUUGGGCCUCAGCUCCUUUCUCUGUGAAGCAACUGCCCAACAGCCCUCAGUCCAGAUUUGCUGGGAUGCCGAGACUCCAGCAGAGCCUGAAGCCAAGCAGGGGUCUGCCUGGGUGGGGUUUAGCAGGCUGCCUCCAGAUGCUGCCCAUCCCGUCCCUGCAGAGAGGAGGGCAUUGAAGGUCCACCGGGUGAGUCUGCCCUGGGAGUCUCUGCUUGGAAGCUGAACGGCUUGACAGUGACUCAGAAACCACGGAAGUUUCCAGGGCUGAUGGGUUCUUAUAGAUUGUACAUGCAGCUCUCCUUGAGGGCCGCAAAACCACAGAACGGGCUGUGACCACUCUCAAGGAAAGAGCCAUAUAUUGCAAAGAGCUUUCUGCCCUCCAAGGCUUAAAGCAAGCAGACUCAAUGCCCACCCUCUUUGAGAUAAAAUUGCUUCUAGGGCAUCAGGGAGACAGCAAGGCCUCAACUGUGUCCCCUCCACCUAGAAUUUAUUCUCCAGGAAGAUA